GCCAUUGUGGAAUAGUGGUAUGAGCAUUAGACUAUAACUCUGGAGACCAGGGUUCAAAUCCCCACUCAGCCA